UUGUAUAAACGCCCCCCCCCGCAAGCAUUUAGUGAGCAAGAAUAACUUCUGUGUUCUGUUUUUCUUCUUUUAAGGUGCAUUCCUCCACGCUCCUGUCACAACACGGACCAACUCAACACUCGCACAAAAAACUUGGAACAACAAAAACACUUCCUCAAGCGAGGAAAGAUGAUAGCAAUCAGGCCGGGUUGAAAAACAACCAAGGUAUCCAAACGGCGCACCUUGAUUAUUUGUCUGUGGGGAGUGACUUUGGUAUUCACACAUGGUAAAUGAUGCAAGGGCAUACAUGUGGAAAUUGUUUUUUUUUUAUUAUUUCACUGCAAGAGUUUAAAGACACAAAGACACAGCUGCCACGUUUUCAACCAGUAAAACCGUUCUUUUGAGAACACGAUUCAGCUAAGCACAAUGUUAAAUAACACUUCAAAGUCGGGGACACACAUACAGAUAAUUGGGCUAAAUUUGAGUAUUUUUCCUCCUAUGUGACAAAAGUCAAUAGCCAAUCUCCAAGGUGUUUCUUCUACAACUACUAUUCCUUCUUUGUGUUCCUCUCGCAGCUUAAUUUUGGUUCUGCGCUUGGCGAGGUUAGGAGCAUGGCGUGCUGCCUUAGUCAUCUGGAGUACACCACAUACACCUAAAACAGGGGAAGUGCUACCAACCAUCAUAAAAAGGUCGGGGGGGUGAAUUUCACAGGGCAGCGCUUCCUGUCGGACACGCACGAUGACAGGAUGUUCCCAUACCGUCUUUCAUGCAUGUCAAGUGGAAGUGGAGACAGGCUAAUUCAAGAUGAACUCUGUCCUCGAGUAGACGGGAUGAACCAGGCCCGGCAAGCCGAGAU